GAUCUGGCUCAGGAUGAACGCUAGCUACAGGCUUAACACAUGCAAGUCGAGGGGCAGCGGGAUUGAAGCUUGCUUCAAUUGCCGGCGACCGGCGCACGGGUGAGUAACGCGUAUCCAACCUUCCGUACACUCAGGGAUAGCCUUUCGAAAGAAAGAUUAAUACCUGAUGGUAUGAUGAGAUUGCAUGAUAGCAUCAUUAAAGAUUUAUCGGUGUACGAUGGGGAUGCG
rnacentral:rRNA from 1 species